rnacentral:rRNA from 1 species
AUUGAACGCUGGCGGAAUGCUUUACACAUGCAAGUCGAACGGCAGCACGGACUUCGGUCUGGUGGCGAGUGGCGAACGGGUGAGUAAUGUAUCGGAACGUGCCCAGUCGUGGGGGAUAACGUAGUGAAAAUUACGCUAAUACCGCAUACGAUCUAUGGAUGAAAGCGGGGGAUCGCAAGACCUCGCGCGAUUGGAGCGGCCGAUAUCAGAUUAGGUAGUUGGUGGGGUAAAGGCCCACCAAGCCAACGAUCUGUAGCUGGUCUGAGAGGACGACCAGCCACACUGGAACUGAGACACGGUCCAGGCUCCUACGGGAGGCAGCAGUGGGGAAUUUUGGACAAUGGGCGAAAGCCUGAUCCAGCCAUUCCGCGUGCAGGAUGAAGGCCCUCGGGUUGUAAACUGCUUUUGUACAGGACGAAAAGGUUUCUACUAAUACUAGGAGCUCAUGACGGUACUGUAAGAAUAAGCACCGGCUAACUACGUGCCAGCCGCCGCGGUAA